GUUGCUAAUGACAAAGUUUGACCGUUCGAGCUCGUCGAGCCCUUCGGUUACGUCUUCCAAGACUUUGUCUAGUUGCAUGGCAUUUUCCGACAUUCCUAAAAAGUAAAAACUCAAACACUUUGAAAAACUCCCCAACGGCCGAUGCUUGUCUUAUCACUUUCGAGCCAAUAUUUGACCAUUCUUUGUUUUGUUUUGCUUAGUUUACAAGAUUGAUUGAACACAGUAUACAAAUGAUAAUAGCGUAGAAGUAAC